ACUCCUACGGGAGGCAGCAGUAGGGAAUCUUCCACAAUGGACGAAAGUCUGAUGGAGCAAUGCCGCGUGAGUGAAGAAGGGUUUCGGCUCGUAAAACUCUGUUGUUAAAGAAGAACACCUUUGAGAGUAACUGUUCAAGGGUUGACGGUAUUUAACCAGAAAGCCACGGCUAACUACGUGCCAGCAGCCGCGGUAAUACGUAGGUGGCAAGCGUUGUCCGGAUUUAUUGGGGCGUAAAGCGAGCGCAGGCGGUUUUUAAGUCUGAUGUGAAAGCCUUCGGCUUAACCGGAGAAGUGCAUCGGAAACUGGGAGACUUGAGUGCAGAAGAGGACAGUGGAACUCCAUGUGUAGCGGUGGAAUGCGUAGAUAUAUGGAAGAACACCGGUGGCGAAGGCGGCUGUCUAGUCUGUAACUGACGCUGAGGCUCGAAAGCAUGGGUAGCGAACAGGAUUAGAUACCCUGGUAGGAUAGCG
rnacentral:rRNA from 1 species